rnacentral:lncRNA from 1 species
AAAAGAUUGGCUGACUCAGGAAUCCACCUAAGCUAGACUAUUGGUGCUCCAUCAUAAUGUCACAUGACUUCCUCUUUAACUGGUCAUAUGAUUAUGGGCUUUGUUUAGACAAAGUAUUUUGGAGUACAUGCUGACCAGUGUUGUAAUUAUAUGGAGAAUCAAGCCUCACCUCAUUGGCACCCAGGAGAGAGCUGUGUGGUUUAGUGCAAAGGUAAUUUGAUUUUGGCAUAACAAAAUGUGUAUCAAUUGAGCUGUUAAUAUCUCUCCGUUUGGUACGUUUCAGUUACUCCAAACUAACGGAUGUAUUUUAAUGGAGAAAAUAAAAGCCCUGACACAGGAAGUGAUUGUUGUUCUAACAUAUGGCCAAAUGCACCUUGAUCCUCCAUGGAACACAAAGUACUCUGUCUGAAGGUGGAUCAUGUGAAAUGCACAGCUGGUAUCUACAUUAACAUCCAAUGACAACUUUUGCUCUAAUAACUACUUAUAUGUCUAUUCUAUUUGUUAUGUCAAUGUGUCACCGUUGUGGGUGGGGAACAUGUUUAAUGCUCUUUACUUUGCCCUGCUGAAUUAGAUGAGGAUACGGUGGGAGGAUGAAGGUACAGGAAGGAUUUAAGCACUGACAAAGAUGAGUCCUUGCCUGGAUUAAGCCAGGAAUACAAUAUUGAGGAUUUUGAUAGACCUUUAUUUUGAAAGGUGAAAACGAAACUCGUUCCGUCCUUCCUUCCAUGUUUAGGACACGAAGUGCGCAGUUUUGUUCGUCAUACGUAAGGAAUUGGCAAGAAUCUGAGGGACCAAACACAGCAGGUCGGAGGAGAAUCGGCCUCUACUGUGGACUGGGACUGACAACAGCAGCAGCAGCAGCUGUGCUGGUUGUUUGUAAAAAGUCCAGCGCAGAACUCAAGAAAAGUUCCAGCUCAGCAGAAAGAUCAGAGAAAACUGUUUGAUCAACAAUUUUUCAGAUGGUGUCCUCCUUUUUGAUUUUACAUCUCACUUCAUCACAAAACUCAGUGAGAUGACAUCUUCAGCCCAUAAAAACUGUGAUCCAGCUAUAUAAAAUGAAAAGAAAACCUGCACUAUUACUGUCAUUGUUACUGGUAAAGUAAUUUAUUAUUACACUAAGCUUCUAUUUUCUCCUCCAUAAUUUCCUUCUCUUUUGUACACCUUUUUUUCUAUUCUCUGUCUCUUUCUUAUGAAUCUACAAACAUUAUAGUGCCAAGA